rfam:Parcubacteria (Nomurabacteria) bacterium GW2011_GWB1_37_5 TS50_C0002, whole genome shotgun sequence.
GUCGGCGUAGCUCAGUUGGUAGAGCGUGGGACUCAUAAGCCCAAGGUCACAGGUUCAAUCCCUGUCGCCGACA